rnacentral:rRNA from 1 species
GUGCCAGCCGCCGCGGUAAUACAGAGGUGGCAAGCGUUGUUCGGAAUUACUGGGCGUAAAGGGCGCGUAGGCGGCCUUGUCAGUCAGACGUGAAAUCCCCAGGCUUAACCUGGGAACUGCGUCUGAUACUACAAGGCUGGAGUUCGGGAGAGGAAUGUGGAAUUCCAGGUGUAGCGGUGAAAUGCGUAGAUAUCUGGAGGAACACCGGUGGCGAAGGCGGCAUUCUGGACCGAAACUGACGCUGAGGCGCGAAAGCCAGGGGAGCAAACGGGAUUAGAUACCCCCGUAGUCC